rnacentral:lncRNA from 1 species
GCGAAUGCCGUUGGGUUGGCGCUUGCUGAGAAGCACCUGGCUGCUCGUUUCAACAAGCCCGACAGUGAAAUCGUUGACCACUACACGUAAUACUCUGACCUUGUUGUCUUCCGUUUAGUUUGAGUUGUGCAGUGCGUUAACCUGUUAUGCGUAUUUGGUAUAGGUACUGUAUUGUCGGAGAUGGGUGCAACAUGGAGGGUAUCUUGACUGAAGCUUGCUCAUUGGCUGGGCAUUGGGGUCUUGGCAAGCUUAUUGUCUUCUAUGACGACAACCACAUCUCCAUUGACGGAGACACAGAGAUUGCGUUUACAGAGGAUGUGAGUGGCCGCUUUGAGGCUCUUGGGUGGCACACACUCUGGGUUAAGAACGGCAACGAUGGUUACGACGAGAUCCGUAAAGCCAUCCAGGAAGCAAAGUCAGUUACCGACAAGCCUAC